AUUGAACGCUGGCGGCAUGCUUUACACAUGCAAGUCGAACGGUAACAGGCCUUCGGGUGCUGACGAGUGGCGAACGGGUGAGUAAUGCAUCGGAACGUACCCAGAGGUGGGGGAUAACGCAGCGAAAGCUGUGCUAAUACCGCAUGUGAUCUGAGGAUGAAAGCGGGGGACCGAGCAGCAAUGUUUGGCCUCGCGCCUUUGGAGCGGCCGAUGUCGGAUUAGCUAGUUGGUGGGGUAAAGGCCUACCAAGGCGACGAUCCGUAGCUGGUCUGAGAGGACGACCAGCCACACUGGAACUGAGACACGGCCCAGACUCCUACGGGAGGCAGCAGUGGGGAAUUUUGGACAAUGGGCGCAAGCCUGAUCCAGCAAUGCCGCGUGCGGGAAGAAGGCCUUCGGGUUGUAAACCGCUUUUGGCAGGAACGAAACGGUGUCCGCUAAUACCGGGCGCUAAUGACGGUACCUGCAGAAUAAGCAACGGCUAACUACGUG
rnacentral:rRNA from 1 species